rnacentral:lncRNA from 1 species
CCUAACUUUAGAGAAGACGAAAAUUGGUUAAUAAUAAGAAAACACAUAAAGUUUUUAAAGAGAAAUAACAAAUAAACUUAAAAUUGUCUCACAUCUACAAGUACCUGAACAGAUUCGAGCAACAAGAGACUAGGGCUUUAAAAGAAUGACUGAGAUGAAAGAAAAUAUGGUUUGGAACCAUAGAUUCGAGCUAUAAACACGAAGAUAAUAGUACUCACAAAUGGAGAUGAUCAUAGGUAGGUCCGUAAAAAGGUUUUUGAAUGAAUCUGAGUUGAAUAUCCUUGAGUUUCCUCUAUAUAACAACAAAAUCGAACAACCAAAAGAGGUAUGAGAUCGGUAUGGGCCGGAAAUCACCAGAUGAACCCUUAUCUGGUCAAGAAUCGAAAGGUUUAAGGGUUUUUUCGAGUGAUGUCCCUCCAGGGUUUGAGAGUGUCUUACAGAGAAGAAAGGAGGAUAUGAUUUGGGGGCAGCGCAAUUGGAGAGAAUGGGUAGGGUUUGGG